UACGUAGGGUCCGAGCGUUGUCCGGAAUUAUUGGGCGUAAAGAGCUCGUAGGCGGUUUGUCGCGUCUGCUGUGAAAUCCCGAGGCUCAACCUCGGGCCUGCAGUGGGUACGGGCAGACUGGAGUGCGGUAGGGGAGAAUGGAAUUCCUGGUGUAGCGGUGGAAUGCGCAGAUAUCAGGAGGAACACCGAUGGCGAAGGCAGCUCGCUGGGACGGUACUGACGCUGAGACGCGAAAGCGUGGGGAGCAAACAGG
rnacentral:rRNA from 1 species